GUGGGAGGAGUCGGAGUGACCAGCCAGUAACCAGUAUGCAGUACAUGGAUACAGCCAACUGUGCUUCCUCAGAUCCCUGACCAUUAAGGAAAGAGCAGAAAGACACCAGCAGUGAAAUCAACACAAACUACUACACCAACAAUCACCUAUAUGGCAACAUAGAGGCUGAAGAGGAUGGCGACCCAUUCGAGUGUGAGGGUGUAGAUGAUUCAG